GCGCCAUCGAGCACUGGCAUAUCUCAUACUCGGUGCUCUUGCAGCUUCUCAAAGCUCUGUCGAGGAACCCUGAACUGAAUUCGCCGGCUAGACGGAUAGCCAGAGUGUGUGAAAAGAUGACAGAGGUGGUAUCUCUUAUGGACAUUGACGAAGAUGAGAACCAGAACCAGAAUCAAAACCAUUCCUCGAAACCAAACAAGGGAAAAAACGUCGUCGUAGCCGGCACGCCGCCUGAUACUAAGGCCACUCCCUGGGUGGAGAAGUAUCGCCCUCAGUCACUCGCUGAUGUAGCUGCUCAUCGCGACAUUGUCGAUACUAUUGAUAGGCUCACCAGUGAAAACAGAUUGCCCCAUCUCCUACUGUAUGGCCCUCCUGGCACUGGAAAAACUUCAACUAUUCUUGCUGUGGCGCGCAAACUGUAUGGGACACAGUACCAGAAUAUGAUUUUGGAGCUGAAUGCAUCAGAUGACAGGGGAAUUGAUGUAGUGCGACAGCAGAUACAAGAUUUUGCUAGCACUCAGAGCUUCUCAUUUGGGGCAAAGUCAUCUGUAAAGUUGGUCUUACUAGAUGAGGCAGAUGCCAUGACAAAGGAUGCCCAAUUUGCCUUGCGUAGAGUGAUUGAGAAAUACACCAAGAACACUCGGUUUGCACUCAUCUGCAAUCAUGUGAACAAAAUUAUUCCAGCACUGCAAUCUAGAUGUACGCGAUUUCGAUUUGCUCCUCUGGAUCCUAUACAUGUUACUGAACGACUCAAACAUGUUAUAGAGGCUGAAGGGCUUGAUGUACCUGAAAGUGGCUUGCAAGCACUUGUACGACUUAGCAAUGGUGAUAUGAGGAAGGCUUUGAACAUAUUGCAGUCGACACACAUGGCUUCUCAGCAAAUUACUGAAGAAGCUGUAUACCUUUGCACUGGAAAUCCAUUGCCCAGAGACGUUGAGCAAAUAUCUUACUGGCUUCUGAAUGAAUCGUUUGCAGAAAGCUUCAAACGAAUUUCUGAUAUCAAGAUUAGGAAAGGAUUGGCAUUGGUGGAUAUUGUGAAAGAAGUGACUAUGUUUGUUUUUAAGAUUAAGAUGCCAUCAGAUGUCA
rnacentral:misc_RNA from 1 species